GUUCGGGCUCUUCUUGCGCAGCUUAGGUGGAAGGCGUUGAAAGAGAGCUUCCGGGUUCUCUGGAGCCACCAGUGAGAUACCACUCUGGAAGAGCUAGAAUUCUAAUCUCGACCCCUUAGCGGGGCGUGUGACAGUUUCAGGUGGGCAGUUUGACUGGGGCGGUCGCCUCCUAAAAGGUAACGGAGGCGUGCAAAGGUUCCCUCCGGCUGGACGGAAAUCAGCUGUAGAGUGUAAAGGCAGAAGGGAGCUUGACUGCGAGACCUACAAGUCGAGCAGGGACGAAAGUCGGCCUUAGUGAUCCGACGGUGCCGUGUGGAAGGGCCGUCGCUCAACGGAUAAAAGUUACUCUAGGGAUAAC
rnacentral:rRNA from 1 species